rnacentral:rRNA from 1 species
UGAGACACGGCCCAGACUCCUACGGGAGGCAGCAGUGGGGAAUCUUAGACAAUGGGCGCAAGCCUGAUCUAGCCAUGCCGCGUGAGUGAUGAAGGCCUUAGGGUCGUAAAGCUCUUUCGCCUGUGAUGAUAAUGACAGUAGCAGGUAAAGAAACCCCGGCUAACUCCGUGCCAGCAGCCGCGGUAAUACGGAGGGGGUUAGCGUUGUUCGGAAUUACUGGGCGUAAAGCGCGCGUAGGCGGAUUGGAAAGUUGGGGGUGAAAUCCCGGGGCUCAACCCCGGAACUGCCUUCAAAACUCCCAGUCUAGAGUUCGAGAGAGGUGAGUGGAAUUCCGAGUGUAGAGGUGAAAUUCGUAGAUAUUUGGAGGAACACCAGUGGCGAAGGCGGCUCACUGGCUCGAUACUGACGCUGAGGUGCGAAAGUGUGGGGAGCAAACAGGAUUAGAUACCCUGGUAGUCCACGCCCUAAACGAUG